GAAGGUGUGCUGUGAGGCAUGCUGGAGGUAUCAGAAGUGCGAAUGCUGACAUAAGUAACGAUAAUGCGGGUGAAAAACCCGCACGCCGGAAGACCAAGGGUUCCUGUCCAACGUUAAUCGGGGCAGGGUGAGUCGACCCCUAAGGCGAGGCUGAAAAGCGUAGUCGAUGGGUAACGGGUUAAUAUUCCCGUACUGGUGGUAACUGCGAAGGGGGGACGGAGAAAGCUAAAUCAUCCGGGCGACGGUUGUCCCGGUUUAAGCGUGCAGGUGGACUGACCAGGCAAAUCCGGUCGGUUGUUAACACUGAGGCGUGACGACGAGCCACUACGGUGGUGAAGUGAUUGAUGCUCUGCUUCCGGGAAAAGCCUCUAAGCUCCAGGUUACCAUUAAUCGUACCCCAAACCGACACAGGUGGUCAGGUAGAGAAUACUCAGGCGCUUGAGAGAACUCGGGUGAAGGAACUAGGCAAAAUGGUGCCGUAACUUCGGGAGAAGGCACGCUGGCAUUAGGUGAAGUGAUUUACUCAUGGAGCUGAAGCCAGCCGCAGAUACCAGCUGGCUGCAACUGUUUAUUAAAAACACAGCACUGUGCAAACACGAAAGUGGACGUAUACGGUGUGACGCCUGCCCGGUGCCGGAAGGUUAAUUGAUGAGGUUAGCGCAAGCGAAGCUUCUGAUCGAAGCCCCGGUAAACGGCGGCCGUAACUAUAACGGUCCUAAGGUAGCGAAAUUCCUUGUCGGGUAAGUUCCGACCUGCACGAAUGGCGUAAUGAUGGCCAGGCUGUCUCCACCCGAGACUCAGUGAAAUUGAACUCGCUGUGAAGAUGCAGUGUACCCGCGGCAAGACGGAAAGACCCCGUGAACCUUUACUAUAGCUUGACACUGAACAUUGAGCCUUGAUGUGUAGGAUAGGUGGGAGGCAAUGAAGUGUGGACGCCAGUCUGCACGGAGCCAUCCUUGAAAUACCACCCUUUAACGUUUGAUGUUCUAACCCAGACCCGUAAUCCGGGUCGGGGACCGUGUCUGGUGGGUAGUUUGACUGGGGCGGUCUCCUCCCAAAGAGUAACGGAGGAGCACGAAGGUUGGCUAAGCAUGGUCGGACAUCAUGCGGUUAGUGCAAAGGCAUAAGCCAGCUUGACUGCGAGAGUGACGGCUCGAGCAGGUACGAAAGUAGGUCUUAGUGAUCCGGUGGUUCUGAAUGGAAGGGCCAUCGCUCAACGGAUAAAAGGUACUCCGGGGAUAACAGGCUGAUACCGCCCAAGAGUUCAUAUCGACGGCGGUGUUUGGCACCUCGAUGUCGGCUCAUCACAUCCUGGGGCUGAAGUAGGUCCCAAGGGUAUGGCUGUUCGCCAUUUAAAGUGGUACGCGAGCUGGGUUUAGAACGUCGUGAGACAGUUCGGUCCCUAUCUGCCGUGGGCGCUGGAAGAUUGAGAGGGGUUGCUCCUAGUACGAGAGGACCGGAGUGAACGCACCACUGGUGUACGGGUUGUGAUGCCAAUUGCAUUGCCCGGUAGCUAAGUGCGGAAGAGAUAACCGCUGAAAGCAUCUAAGCGGGAAACUUGCCUCGAGAUGAGUCUUCCCUGACCCUUUAAGGGUCCUGAAGGAACGUUUGAGACUAAGACGUUGAUAGGCUGGGUGUGUAAGUGCAGCGAUGUAUUGAGCUAACCAGUACUAAUGAACCGAGAGGCUUAACCUG
rnacentral:rRNA from 1 species